rnacentral:rRNA from 1 species
AGAGUUUGAUCAUGGCUCAGGACGAACGCUGGCGGCGUGCUUAACACAUGCAAGUCGAACGGAAAGGCCCUUCGGGGUGCUCGAGUGGCGAACGGGUGAGUAACACGUGGGUGAUCUGCCCUGCACUUUGGGAUAAGCCUGGGAAACUGGGUCUAAUACCGAAUAGGACUGCGCUCUUCAUGGGGUGUGGUGGAAAGCUUUUGCGGUGUGGGAUGGGCCCGCGGCCUAUCAGCUUGUUGGUGGGGUAAUGGCCUACCAAGGCGACGACGGGUAGCUGGCCUGAGAGGGUGACCGGCCACACUGGGACUGAGAUACGGCCCGGACUCCUACGGGAGGCAGCAGUGGGGAAUAUUGCACAAUGGGCGCAAGCCUGAUGCAGCGACGCCGCGUGAGGGAUGACGGCCUUCGGGUUGUAAACCUCUUUCAGCACAGACGAAGCGCGAGUGACGGUAUGUGCAGAAGAAGGACCGGCCAACUACGUGCCAGCAGCCGCGGUAAUACGUAGGGUCCGAGCGUUGUCCGGAAUUACUGGGCGUAAAGAGCUCGUAGGUGGUUUGUCGCGUUGUUCGUGAAAACUCACAGCUUAACUGUGGGCGUGCGGGCGAUACGGGCAGACUUGAGUACUGCAGGGGAGACUGGAAUUCCUGGUGUAGCGGUGGAAUGCGCAGAUAUCAGGAGGAACACCGGUGGCGAAGGCGGGUCUCUGGGCAGUAACUGACGCUGAGGAGCGAAAGCGUGGGGAGCGAACAGGAUUAGAUACCCUGGUAGUCC